rnacentral:rRNA from 1 species
AUACAGAUAAUAUAAUUAAAUUUUAUUAGUUUUAAUUAGUUUAAUAUAUAAUAAUAUAAAUUUUAAUUUAUUAAGUGAAAUUUUAAAUUAAAUAUUAUUUAUGUUGAAAUUUAUGAUUUAAGAAAUUUUUGUAAAAACUAGGAUUAGAUACCCUAUUAUUUUAAAUGUAAAUUUAAGACUAAAUUAUUAAUAGUUAUGAUCUUAAAAAUUAAAAAAUUUGGCGGUAUUUUAGUCUUUUCAGAGGAACCUGUUCUAUAAUUGAUAAUCCACGAUAAAUUGAAUUUACUUUAUUAAUUUAUAUAUCGUCGUAUUUUGAACAUUUUAAAAGAAUAUAAUUUUCAAUUAUUUAAAUUAAAUUAAAAAUCAGAUCAAGGUGUAGUUUAUAAGUAAAUAGAAAUGGGUUACAAUUAAUUUAUUAUAUGGUUUAUUAAAUGAAAUUUUAUUAAUAAAUUGGAUUUGAAAGUAAUUUUAUAUAUUUUUAUAAAAUGAUUUAAGCUCUAAAAUAUGUACAUAUUGCCCGUCGCUUUCGUUUUAAAAUGAAAUAAGUCGUAACAAAGUAAACUUACUGGAAAGUGUGUUU